rnacentral:rRNA from 1 species
UACGGAGGGUGCGAGCGUUAAUCGGAAUUACUGGGCGUAAAGCGUACGCAGGCGGUUUGUUAAGCUAGAUGUGAAAGCCCCGGGCUCAACCUGGGAUGGUCAUUUAGAACUGGCAGACUAGAGUCUUGGAGAGGGGAGUGGAAUUCCAGGUGUAGCGGUGAAAUGCGUAGAUAUCUGGAGGAACAUCAGUGGCGAAGGCGACUCCCUGGCCAAAGACUGACGCUAAUGUGCGAAAGUGUGGGUAGCGAACAGG